rfam:Rattus norvegicus chromosome X, whole genome shotgun sequence.
GGGGAUUUAGCUCAGUGAUAGAGCGCUUGCCUAGCAAGCACAAGGCCCUGGGUUCGGUCCCCAGCCCCG